GGCUCGUUGGUGUAGUUGGUUAUCACGUCAGUCUAACACACUGAAGGUCCUGAGUUCGAGCCUCAGAUGAGUCA
rnacentral:tRNA from 1 species